rnacentral:rRNA from 1 species
CAGGUGAGAAUCCUGUCCACCGAAUGACUAAGGUUUCCUGGGGAAGGCUCGUCCGCCCAGGGUUAGUCGGGACCUAAGCCGAGGCCGAAAGGCGUAGGCGAUGGAUAACAGGUUGAUAUUCCUGUACCCGUUGUUUUUGUUUGAACAAUGGAGGGACGCAGGAGGCUAAGGAAUGCAGACGAUUGGAAAUGUCUGUCCAAGCAGUAAGUCUUAGGUUGAGUC